rnacentral:piRNA from 1 species
UGAAAUCUUCAAGUUGAUGGG